rnacentral:rRNA from 1 species
UACAGAGACUGCGAGCGUUGUUCGGAUUCACUGGGCGUAAAGGGUGCGCAGGCGGCCGUGUGUGUGAGGCGUGAAAGCCCGGGGCUUAACCCCGGAAUUGCACCUCAAACUACACGGCUAGAGCAUUGGAGAGGGGAGCGGAAUUCACGGUGUAGCAGUGAAAUGCGUAGAUAUCGUGAGGAACACCAGAGGCGAAGGCGGCUACCUGGACAAUUGCUGACGCUCAGGCACGAAAGCGUGGGGAGCAAAAGGG